rnacentral:lncRNA from 1 species
UUCUCCACAUCCAAGAACGUCAAGGACGUGAGAUUUCCGAGGCCGUGCAGAUUGAUUAUACUUGCUCCAUCUGUUAUUUCCAAGGUUGUCAAUGAUUUGAGCUCUCCAAGGCCUCGAAUCUCGGGAACCUUGGGACAGCAAAAUAGUGUUAACUCUAUCAAGCUCUUCAGGUUGGCAAGAUCAGGCAAUGCCUCCAACAAUGGACAUUGCCGAAGAAAAAGCUUGUGUAGAGAUGAUGGAAGGACCUGCAGACUUUUCGUGU